UACGUAGGGUGCAAGCGUUAAUCGGAAUUACUGGGCGUAAAGCGUGCGCAGGCGGUUAUGUAAGACAGAUGUGAAAUGCCCGGGCUUAACCUGGGAACUGCAUUUGUGACUGCAUGGCUAGAGUUUGGCAGAGGGGGGUAGAAUUCCACGUGUAGCAGUGAAAUGCGUAGAUAUGUGGGAGGAACACCGAUGGCGAAGGCAGCCCCCCUGGGUCA
rnacentral:rRNA from 1 species